CACCUUUUCCUGUUGGGAGUUUGGACUCUGCUUAGUUUGCUGCUGAAGGUUUGCCGUCCGGUAUUUCAUGUGUACAGGAAAACAAGACAUUCCAUUGGAUUUUGGAUUACAGCUGUGUUUUUUGGACUUUGUCUUUCUGGAGCGCUCAUGGACAACCACACAAACCGCAGCGACUCCCCACAACAGCUCAGGAGAAGUAAUGGUCAGUGGGCGACCUCCAAUCCUACCAACAAGGCAGUCCUCUCUUAACACCCAUUAACUCCACAGAGGCUGUCGAGCUACCAAAGGGGCAGCAGGUGUCCUUUUUACUCUGUGGGGCUUUUUUUUGCACCAGUAGGGGCUGCUACAGUAUGGUGUUGCAGAUGCUGCAAGAUCCCUCCCCGUGGAAUCUCCAGCAAAGAUCGGUGACCCUGACUGCAUGACACCCUGCACAUCACGCUGUCAAACCCAGGUCCCUCAACAAAGCUAUGCAUUCAAAGAGGAAGGAUUAAGCCCCCCCCCCCCCAGCAUGGGCAUGCAGUGAAAGCCAAGAACUGUUCCUGAGCUAUCUGGCAGUAACAGUGUAAGGCAGGCAGCCUUCCUCACUGACUCUCCAGAUUCCCAGGCAGCCUGCACAGGCUUUUAAAAUGUCUAUUUGUAUUCAGGUAUUUUUAAGAAAUAAUUUCUGAUGUUCUAGAUUGGUGUAGCCAUCUUGCAUUUUCAAAGGGCUGCUUUCUUAAUGGCUACACUUUCUUUUACACAAAUGGGGUUAUUUUCAAAGCUUGGAAAUUUGUGCUGUGUAAAGUUAAUGGGCUUCUGGACUAUAUACCCCAUUAUGUGCAUAGUUUACCUAAAUGGCAUAACUCCACUGAGGAAAACAUAGCAGAUCUGAAAGGCAAAAGCACAGCAGAUCUAUGCUUUUGAAAAUCGUUGUAGGACAGCAUCAGAAAGGAGGCUCAGAGUCAAGAAAGCUGCAGUUUUAAAACAGGACACAAGGCCCAACAUAAAAGGUGUAAACAAAAGAAUAACUAAAUGUAGGCUUGG